GAGAUCUACAGGAGAACUCAGGGCGGAUGUCUGCCGGGUGCGCGUUGGGCUUUCUGGUCGCUUCUCUGCGAACGCGCGCUUGUUCCUGCGGCGGUGCCUGCCUGUGUCGUCGUCCCUGUUUGUUCUUCUUCAAACCUCAGGAUUUCUCCGUGUUUCCCAGACCGUAACGUUCCAAAGGUGGAAACACAGAUGACAGAUUUUUGGUCUUUUCGUCAUUUCCUAUAUAUGUGUUCAAUGGUUUAGAAUAGUUCACCAGUGAAGUCAUCUCAACCAGCACAGGGCCUUGACUCCUAACAACAAUCACACGAACUUGGAAGAGGAGCCUUCCCCAACUGAACCUUCGCUUGAGACCUCGUCCUUGGCCAUCCUCUACAUCUGGAUUCAUGAUACAGAGAAACUUGAGUAAUGAUGACACUAGCAGUCCAGCCUGCAUGGAUGCUGACAUGGAUGCUGUCUCCCAUUCUUACCACUGGAUGGGAAGAAAUGCUAGAUGCAAUCCAGCCAGUCUGUACUCGACUGUCAGUUCCAUCUUCUCAACUCACAGUGUCUUCCAAAGUCCGUGCCACACCACAGCCUGGAACAUCUCCCAAGGUUUCAAAUAAUUCAUCAGUGAAUUCUUCUCAACCUGGUCAAUCAUGUGAACUUAGAAGAUGAUUCCUCCCCAGCUGAUCCUCAGGUGAGACAUCAGCCUUGGCCAUCAUCUACAUCUGGAUUCCUGACCCAGAGAAACUGGAACACUAAGACCCAUUCUUCUUCUCAAGUAUCCAAAAAUAAAGUUGAUCCAAGUAAGAAGUGGACAGCAUAAAAGAUUGUAUGGAAGCUAUAAUGCAUCUACAUCUGCAGUAACUAAUCAUAAAAUGAUUUGUAUGAUCAUUCUUCACAUGAUUAGAAUUACUAUGGGAAAGAAGAAAAAGAAAUGCCUCUCUGGAUGGUGACUAUAACCUAUAGCCUUGCCCAAUAUGACUCAGGAUUUGGUACUGGCUGUGCCUUUCAUGGGAUGCUUACUUAUCCUGGUCGAUGGCCUAAAGCCCAACCGUCCAGCUUAUAUCCAGGGAUAAACUCAGCCUGCGGGGCCUCAGGAAGAAGGUCGUAGCCAUUUCAUUGAGUCCAGGGCAGAAAAGUGGAAGAAAAAUGUGAAUGUGUUAAUUUGAGGACUUUAGCUCUGAGAGGUUUCAGGAUUCAGUCCAAAAUGCAGAAAACAAUAAAAAGCUCAAAAACAAUGGACAAGACUAGAAUCUAACAACAGGGUCUCAAGCCACCCAGGCUGGAGUGCAGUGGCACAAUUAUGGCUCACUGUAGCCUCACCUUCCUGGGAUCAAGCAAUCUUCUUUCUUCAGCCUCCAGAGGAGCUGGGACCACAGAUCCUUUGGCAUUUGAGAGUUGCUUUGUGUAUACGGUCCUUUAACGGAGCAAAUGGCCAGCCAGGAAACCAAAGUAUGGACAAGGGGAAAGAAGCGUCUGUGGAGGAAGUUUUACAAGCGCCCUCCUCAUCCAUUUGGGUGGUGUUGCCCAUAUGCUACAUGUCUGUGGACCACUAUGUGUGUUUAAAGCUUUUUAGUAAAACGUUACUAAAAACUAUGACUCACUGUGGUGAAAAAGGUGGCAAAACAGUGACAACACAACACGGAGAUGCAUUGACACCCUUCUUCAAUCCAGAGGAUGGGCCAUCAACUCACAAAAGUACAAGGCCUGGAACCAGCUGCAAAGUUCCUAUGGAUCACUUGGCCAGGUCUAAAUUUAUUUAGCAGAAAUAGAAUGGAACACAUGAAAAGGAGAAAAAAUGUACAUUUUUUCAAGAUAAUUUUCAGACUUUGCAAACAAUUAUAUUGUAUAAGUGAAUAAAACCAAAUCAGAGUAAUAAAGAUAUGUAAUUGGGCUACAUAGAUGGAGAUUUACAAUACACUGGAAACGGAGAGAGAAAG
rnacentral:lncRNA from 1 species